CCUACGGGUGGCAGCAGUGGGGAAUAUUGCACAAUGGGGGGAACCCUGAUGCAGCGACGCCGCGUGAGUGAAGAAGUAUCUAGGUAUGUAAAGCUCUAUCAGUAGGGGAGAAGAUGACGGUACCUGACUAAGAAGCCCCGGCUAACUACGUGCCAGCAGCCGCGGUAAUACGUAGGGGGCAAGCGUUAUACGGAUUUACUGGGUGUAAAGGGAGCGUAGACGGCAGGGCAAGUCUGGAGUGAAAGCCCGGGGCCCAACCCCGGGACUGCUUUGGAAACUGCCAGGCUAGAGUGCUGGUGAGGUAAGCGGAAUGCGUGGUGUAGCGGUGAAAUGCGUAGAUAUUAGGAGGAACACCAGUGGCGAAGGCAGCUUACUGGACAGUAACUGACGUUGAGGCUCGAAAGCGUGGGGAGCAAACAGGAUUAGAUACCCCAGUAGUC
rnacentral:rRNA from 1 species